AAAUCCAUCUCUAGAGAAAUUUUUUAUUUUAGAGAAAAAUAGGAAAAUACAUGGGAGAUGGUCUAAGAGACGUGAUAUAAUCAGCUGCCAUGAAAUCAUAUGUCCAAUUAGUUUAAAAAAAAAAUCACAUGUCGAAUUACGUGAGACGUACAAUAACUUACAAUUAAAAAAAAAAAACUUUUGCCACAUUUUUCAAGUUUUAAAUUUUGAUUAUGUGCUAUGUGGUUGUGAGGUGUUCCAUCUGUGAUCAGAUAGGUGGAGAAGGUGAAACAUACAUAAUGCUCGACGGCUCGAAUGAA
rnacentral:lncRNA from 1 species